CAGAAAUUUCGCAUGCAUUGAAAAGAUUAUAUCUCAAAAACUAAAACUGAUAUUUAAAAAUGGACACCAUUGUUGACAAGUUGUUUUGAAGUUGAUCGAAGAAAAAUUAAAAAUUACCAGAAAAUUCGAAUGCUUUAGAAAGAUUGUAUCUCAAAGACUAAAACUGAUAUUUCAAAAUGGACACCAUUGUUGACAACUAGGCAGUUUAGUUGAUAAUUGGUGAUAAUUUCAUGAACAUUUUCUAAGAAAUCGAUUGUUCAGGAAGCUUUAAAGUUGAUCGAAAAAAAUGGAAAAUUACCAGAAAUAUUGAAUGCAUUAGAAAGAUUGUAUUUCAAAAACUAAAACUGAUAUUUAAAAAUGGACACCAUCGUUGACAAGAAGAUUUAAAGUUGAUCGAAGAAAAAUUAAAAAUUACCAGAAAUUUCGAAUGCUUUAGAAAGAUUGUAUCUCAAAAAUUAAAAAUGAUAUUUCAAAAUGAACAUCAUCA